GACGAACGCUGGCGGCGUGCUUAACACAUGCAAGUCGAACGGAAAGGCCCUGCUUUUGUGGGGUGCUCGAGUGGCGAACGGGUGAGUAACACGUGAGUAACCUGCCCUUGACUUUGGGAUAACUUCAGGAAACUGGGGCUAAUACCGGAUAGGAGCUCCUGCUGCAUGGUGGUGGUUGGAAAGAUUCGGCGUUUGGGGAUGGACUCGCGGCUUAUCAGCUUGUUUGUGGGGUAGUGGCUUACCAAGGCUUUGACGGGUAGCCGGCCUGAGAGGGUUACCGGCCACAUUGGGACUGAGAUACGGCCCAGACUCCUACGGGAGGCAGCAGUGGGGAAUAUUGCACAAUGGGCGGAAGCCUGAUGCAGCAACGCCGCGUGCGGAAUGACGGCCUUCGGGUUGUAAACCGCUUUCGCCUGUGACGAAGCGUGAGUGACGGUAAUGGGUAAAGAAGCACCGGCUAACUACGUG
rnacentral:rRNA from 1 species